UACGUAGGGGGCAAGCGUUUGUCCGGAUUUAUUGGGCGUAAAGAGCGUGUAGGCGGUCCGGUAAGUCCGCUGUGAAAGUCGGGGGCUCAACCCUCGAAUGCCGGUGGAUACUGUCGGGCUAGAGUGCGGAAGAGGCGAGUGGAAUCCUGGUGUAGCGGUGAAAUGCGCAGAUAUCGUGAGGAAGACCAGUGGCGAAGGCGAAUCUCUGGACAGUAACUGACGCUGAGGCACGAAGGCCAGGGG
rnacentral:rRNA from 1 species